CAGGAAGCCCUCCCCCGCAGACCUCCCACCCGCUCCAGAUGGAGUUAAUAAUUGCCCCCGCCCAGCAACCUUUGCUGCUCUCACUUGCUCCUCUUGCUGCAGUCAUUACACAGCUCACUUUGUUUACAGGAUCAUCUUUCCUCCAUGCUCUGGGCUCCUUGAGAGCAGGGCUCUGUUUUAUUCUCAGUGUCCCUGGGCGUCUUCAGCAUCUAGUACUUUCCUAGCACCUAGCUGAGGAGGGACUCAAUUGAGUGGGAGUGAAGAGACGCCACAGCCAACCCCAGAUCCCUGCUGGUCUUCACAGAGGCAGCGUAUUUUCCUGUGGGUUGUCAAGACUCUCCUCCAGCUCUAUGAGGUAGAUGUUCUUGUAUUACUAUUCGAUAGAUGAAAGAAGGGAGGCUGAGUGAUUAAAUGACCAAGGGUGCGUAGUUAGUAAGUGUAUACUUCUGGACUUGAAUUCCAUUUUUUCUUGCCAGCAAGUAUUGGGCUCUGUCUUGUAGAGUUUCAGACCUAAGCUUAGAAAAAGGAACAAGCCCUGAAGAAGAGUUUGAUGGGACCCACAAAACUCUCUGAUUACAUUUAUCUCACCUGCCAUUUGCCGUGAAUUCAGAAAUUCUCCUUUAGAAUUUCAUUGUUGGUUAAAGCAUGAUCUUCAGAGGAUCCCUUUUAAAUUUCACAUGUUUUCUGAUAGCAAUUACUUGAUGACAGAGCUUACAUGAUGUGGAUCAGUUACUUUUUCAAUAAUAGUAAUAAACACCUGAUUUGUGCUUUUCUAAGUGCUUUAUAUAUUUUAUUUUAACUAGUCCUCACAAUAACCUAACAAGACAGAUACUAUUGUGUCCUCAUUUUAUAGAUGAGGAAACUGAGGGAAAUGUAGAUUAAGUAACUUUACAAAGAUAACACAGAUAUUAAGUGGCAGAGCCAGUGUCCCAAUCCAAUAGCCACCUAAUAUCAUCAAAUAUUCAUUAAGUGUCUGCUCUAUGCCUCACACUGCCAUGUGCCGGGAGAUGGAGUGAUGCAGGAGGCAGAUGAUUUCUGUCUUCAGAGAGCUUUUAUUCUAGAAGUGGAUGACAGGCUGUAAACCUACAAAUAAAUAUUAUAUAUCAGACAAUGAUAAAAGCAGUGAAGAAAAUAGCUCGGGUAAUGUAAUACAGUCUGACCAGGUCAGGGAGGAGUGAGGCUGCUGUAGAUAAUAUGGCAAAGGAGGAGGUGACAGUUGAAGUGAGACUUGAAUGAGAAGGCACCGCCUGUCAACAGUUCUAAGGCUAGGGAACGGGGAAGAGCUUGUCCCUUGUGACUGGAGCUUGGGAAAGAGUUGAGCAAGGGACAGAGAGAGGGGCGAGGCCAUGCUUUGUCUGUAAUGGUAAGAGUCUGAGUUCAUUCUAAGUGCGGGAGGGGGAGUUUUGCACAUGGGAGUCAGGUGAUCUGUGUUUUAUGAGCGUCGCUCUGCUUUGUAAGGUGCUCUGCAGUUGGGAUGGUUGUAGGAGUCGGGAGACCAGGCACGAGGCCGUAGCACAGUGCUGGCCAGAGGUGGUGGUCACUGGAACUAGGGUGGUUCUAGAAUGGACAUAUGCAGAGAAGGGAGUAGGGUGGGAAAUACUUUGGAGGGUGAGCCUACAACUCUUAUUGAUGGAUUGGAUGUGGAAAAUGGAAAAGGAAGGAAACUAGGAGGACCCCUACAUUUUUUACUUUAGUCACUCUUUGAAUGUUUGUAUCAUUUUACUGAGGUGAGGAAGGAAGCUAUCUUGAGAAAUGAGAUGGAAUUCAAGAGUUUUUGUUUGAAAUAUGAUUUUGAGUUCCUUUUAAAUACCCAUCUAGAGCAUUAGGGAGGCAAUUGUAUAUGGAGCCAGGAGCUCAGGGGUUGUUUGUGUUAAAUGGAAGCUUCUAGACAGAGAGAUUUGAUCCAUCACAAUAGAACUUUUGUGAUUUCAGCCUUUCUGCUCCAGAGGAGAGUCCACUUUUUCAGAAGUAUGCCUUGCUGCUGAAAGUUUCUAUUUUUAUUGGAAUAAGUAGACUAUAAUUCCCACCACUGCCUCAGGGUGGCAGUAAUGUUAAUCAGGAAGAACACAGAGGAAACAAGGACGUGCAAUGGGAGAUAAGCAUUGCAGAUGUGUGCACACACGCCAUAAACAAAUUUACUCACAUCGUUCCUGGGAAAAUUAGGUAACAACACGACCUGUGUGUUAAAAGUCAACAAACCCUCCUAACAAUAAGACUGCUUAAGAUAUUGCUAUUAAAAUCCGAACUCUGAGCAAAUCCAGAGUGUGCCUGGUAAUAGGGUCAUAAGAAUGCACUCCGUUCCAUAGCACAGUGGUGUGGAACUGGAACAGAGGACGCUGCACAGAUUAGCAGGAUGUGACAAUACAAAGUGAAGAAGAAUUCAGACCAAAUUAGAACAGAAACCAUUCUCUCAGCCAUAUCUAACACAGGAUUUUCACCAACUUGUGGUGAUGAGGAACUAGAUAUUUGCGUCAGAACCCCCACUGUACAUCCUUUAUAAGUUUUUGAAUGCAUUUAUGCCUAAGUUAACUGGAUAGUAAAAUAAAUAUAUAUCUAAUUCUAGUUUCGGUUUAAUCUUAUUAUUUGUGUGUGUGUCUGAGGAAGAUUGUUGCUGAGCCAACAUCUGUGCCAAUCUUCCUCUAUUUUUCAUGUGGCAUGCCGCCUCAGCAUGGCUUGAUGAGCCAUGCUAGGGCCACACCUGGGAUCCGAAACUGCAAACUCCAGGCCACAGCAGUGGAGCACGUGAACUUAACCACUAGGCCACCGGGCCGGUCCCCGUUCAAUCUUUUUAGACCAAUCCAUUUUGAUUUUCUUAUUCACUAAGUCCAAGAUAAGGAGAACCUCUGAUUUUCCUAGCUCCCCGUUGGCUAUUAGGGGUGAGACUCUGGUGUCUCCAGGGUGGGCAGAGACAGUUAGCAGAAGCUCUCAUGUGAUGCUGUCUUAGCCAGCUCACUUUCCUCCCGGAUACGUUACAAAUUUCAACCAGCACCUUAAAACGUGAACACGGAUGUGCUGGCUGUAUUUCCUGUCUGGAAGCCAGCAGAGAAGAGUUCUAAGCAAGUGGGACCCAGCCUGGGUAGAUUUUGCACUGGGAAGAGGAGACAUGCGAAUAUAUGGAGCAAUCAGCACCUCUAAAGAAAAGCGAGCCCAGGUGGGCUGUCUUAGCUGCUGGGAGAGGAGAUGCACCUCUACCACUCAGUCAAUCCAGCCUCAGUUUGAUAUUCUGAGAACCCGACUGCUCCCCCUUUAGAGCUUGGCCAAGUCCCUAAAUGCUCAGAGUCAAGGAGAACAAUUCAUGCUUGUCAGAUAAUGUUUACGGCUCAUUCCUUGUACGCUGGCUAUUUCACUGACUAGGUGACUUGCUUGAACCCUGCCCCUUGAGAUGCUGAGGAUCAAUGGGCCAAGACAGAGGAUUUGGCAAAGUUGGCAUCCAGUGGCCUGGAUAUUUUUUUUACAUUUUCCAGGAUAUUAAGAACUGCUGGGACAAUGACUAAGCCAGAAACUCAUCUUCCAUACAGUUCUACUUGGUUUUUGUUAUUUUAUGCCACUAAUUGUGCUUUGCCUUUAUAGAGUGUUUACUUGCCUGCCUAUAUGCUCCUGAACAAACAUGAGAAAAUGUAUCAUAAAAUCUGUUCGACAAAGAAACAGAGCUUUUUCAGAACCCAUGUCAGGCCUUAUCAAACAUAUUCAUGAAAGCCUGUGGACAUCCAUAUGGGGCACGCUUGGAUAUCUACGAGACACACACCCUUAAAUUAUACAGACAAAGGGAUGCCAAGAGUUGACAGCAUGCAAAAGCCGAAGAACCUCAGAGGUGGAGUGGUCAGAGGAUUCUCAAGUGGUUUUUAAACCACAGAACAUUUUCUUCAGGCGAAAGUUGCUGCAGAAGCUCAAUCUACAGAGUAAAGCUUUCCCUUUCCGUGAGGGGUGGGGGCGAGGGCUCUGCGCUUCCCAGCCUCCCGGAGGCCCUUCCAAAGGGUGGGAGAGAUUCAGCAGGACGCUGCUGCAGACCCCGCUGCUGGCGUUACUGCCAAGGAGACUGGCCCAGAGGAGCCCCUGGGUCGUCAGCCCAAGGUCAAGGUCACGUGGCAAAUAAGUAAUCACAGCCAGAACUUGGUUCUCCUGACUCUGAGUCCACUGAAUCACACAAUGGGAAUAAGUUUUGUCCAAAAAGUUCUGUGGUGUCAGUGAAGAAGGGAUUGUGUGGUUGUCGAUACUGCUUUUGUUUAGAUCUUUCUCACUUUUAAAGAGGAGUUGAAUGGUUAGAAAGAACACCUGUUUUUAUAACUUAGCCUGUCCUGUCUGGGCUUUGGGAAAAGCCCAGCUUCCUUAGUGAACAUCACAAGUUCCUCCAGUCUGUUCCUGGGUCGUCUCUUCAACUCUGUUAACAACUCCACAGCCACCCACCUUACGCGCCAGCUUCUCAGCACCCUGUGCUGACCUCCCGCCUCUCCCAGGACCCACGUGUCUUGGCUGGCGCUGACCCGUCUACUCUGGAUGCCCUUCUCUCAUGUCUCUUGCUGCUGACAUCCUACCACCUCACAGUCCAGCCCCUCCCGAGGCUUCUCAGAUGCCCUUCUCAGCUGUCCCGCCCCUUCCGCUGUUUCUCCAGAUUAGCAUUUAUCAGAGAUUGCUUGUCUUUAGUGUGACUUAGCGUGCAUCUAUCUCCUUUCUUUUCAGCUGUGAACGGCUAAGAGAGCAGGAAACAUGUCCUAUUCACAUCAUCAGGCAAAAUGCCUGCCCCUACCCGAGGCCUCAAAAUUGAAAUUGGACCCAUGAGAGGAGGCUUUCUGGAGGAAAUGAUAUUCAACCUGAGAACUAGAGCUUCAGUGACUCCCACCAUCAGUCUACUGAUUCGAAGGUUAAUCUCAUCCAGAAACAUCCUCACAGACACACUCAGAAACAAUGUUUACAAUGGUCUGAAUGUUCAUGUCCCUUCAAAAUUCAUACAUUGAAUUCCUAACCCCCAAGGAGAUGGUAUUAGGAAGCGGGGCCUUCGGGAGGUGAUUAGGUCAUGAAGGCAGAGCCCUCAUGGAUGAGGUUAGCGCCCUUAUGAAGGAGACCCCGGAGAGCUGCCUUGCCUUUUCUGCCGUGGGAUGUCACAGUGAGAAGUAAAGGACGGCCAUCUAGGAAGCAGCUCUUCAACAGACACUGAAUCUGCUGGCACCUUGAUCUUCCAGCCUCCAGAACUGUGAGAAAGAAAUUUUCGUUGUUUAUAAGUCACUCAGUUUAUGGUAUUUCUUUUUUAUAGCAGCCCAAAUGGACUAAGACAACGUAUAACCAAAUAUCCAGACACCCCCUGACCCAGUCAAGUUGUUACAUAAAAUUAACCACCCAAACUAUUGUGGUUGUUUUUGUUGUGGUUAUAUUAUCUUCUUAUGUGGAGCUGAAAUUAAUGCAAGUAGAUCAAUCAAAUCAACAUUGAAAUAUAGACAAAUGUAAAUGGGUAAUAUGUAUAAUGUGUAUUUUACAUUUCUUAGGAGAACACACAUAUUAUUCAAAGAUUAAUCUGCUUGGCUGAAAAGAUAACUUCAACUACAUUUUAAGGACAUUUCUUCUUAUAGAUACACGUGUAGGUCAGGCACCAGACAACUUACGAAUAAUAAGUUGACUGACAAGACAGUAGACACAAAAUAGACCAACGUAUACAAAUAUUAGGACCUUCUUCGAUUACUGUAAUUUUAAUGCAUCAAUUGGACAGCAGGCUUUUGAAGCUGCUAAAUUAAGGCAGAGUUCUUGCAACACAAGACACCUUUGCGUGUGAGGAGCACUUGCAAAACUUCACGGACAGUUUACUAAAAAAGACUGAAGGAAAUUCCUACAAACUAUUGGCAAAACUGUAAGUGCUGAGUUCACCUCUCCUCAAGCUGCCACUGUGAAUAUGUCGCCCGCAGCUUUGUAACCUGGAGGACCCGGGCCUUGUGCCUGGGUCAGCCCCUGCCCACGUCCUCAGCUUUGUCUCCGCCUCCUCCCCUUUUCUCUCCUUCAUUGAUGCCGGGCUUCUCUUAGUUCCAUCAGUUGGCCAUGCUCAUCCUCACCUUCAGGCUUCUGCACACGCUACUCCUUUCUAUGGGGAAUGGUCUUUCCUCACUCCUGGUUAAGCCCUUCUCAUCCUUCUGUUCUAGCUGAGGUAUCAUUUCUUCAAGGAGGGAUUCCAGGAUCCCCCAGAUGAGUUCUGACCCCUCUGAGAUAUGCUUCAGAGCAGAUAUUUUCCCUUCUUAUAGCACUAUCUCCCACUUAACUAAUUUUCUUACUGUAUUUUUUAGUAACUCUAUAUACCAAGAUCAUGUAAACUCCUGAGGAGAAGGGCCCACGUUUACUUUAUAGUUCUCAGGUUUUAUCACAGUGCCUGACACAUGGUAGCACCUCACUAAAUACCACAUUUAAGUGAAUCUAAGAUGCAUUGAUUGUAAGACACAUUGGUAUUUUAUAUACACCAAGAAGAAAAAACUUCCAAUUAAAAUUUGACAUGAUGCUUCUUAUCAUUUAGCACUUUUAUUCUAUAUUUAUUAGAAGAUUUUGUUUAGUAUUAUUUAGACACAGAUUUUUAUCAUAUAUCACCCUUGUACAUAUAUGAAAAGGGAAAAGUGAAAGACAUUGGUUAUUACAUUGGCCAUCUCUUUCUUUUGAGCUUUGGCACUUUUUCCUUCAGGCUCUCACCCUCUCGCUAUAACAUCUGACUGAAUUUAUGCACAAUGACUUAGGAUCCUGAUUCUGUUAAAUAUUGAGGACACCAUAAGUUUUAUCUAGUUAAAUCCUUUUAUUUUAUAAAUGAGAAAAUUUGAUAUCCAUAGAGGUAAGAGGCCACACGCUCAUAGUCACAUGUGGAGAAAUAUAAAGCAGAGUAAACUGAGUAGAUACUCCAGGGAAAGGUCAUAGGCUAAGCACCUGUAGAGCCUAAACUCGUGCCUGUACAUCUGUAAUAUACAUUGUUUGAAAGCAUCUGUUGGGGGCUGGAUUGCGUCCCCUCAAAUUCAUAUGUUGAUGCCCCAACCCCCGUACCUUAAAAUGUAGCUAUAUUUGGACAUGCGGUCUUUAAAGAGGUGACCAUGGUUAAAAUGACGCUGUUAGGUGGACCCUAAUCCAAUCUGACGCGAGUCUUUAUAAGAGAGAUUAGGACACACAGAAAGAAACACAGGGGCGCCCCUGGAAUGUGAUCAUCUACGGGCCAAGGAGAAAGGCCUCAGAGGAAGUCAGCCCUGCCAGUGCUUUGAUCUGGGACUUGCAGGCUCCAGAACUGUGGGCAUAGAAAUUUGUGUUUUCCACUCUCUGUCCGUAGUAUUUCGUUAUGGCAGCCCUCAAACUAACACAACAUUGCAAUGAGGGAAGAGCAGAGGGGAUUCAGAAAGAUAAAUACAAAGGAGGGAGGAGGCGUGUACUGGAGAGUUCUUAAAAACUUGCAGUAAGAUUGGGCCAUUAGAUUGUGUUGUUCAGGGAGGCCCGAGAGAAAGCAAGUCCUCCCUCAAACCACAGCACUCUUCCUCCCAAGGCUCUCGAGGCAGCUGUGCACUAGACAAGAUUGCACACGUUGUUGUCCGCUUGGCUUGGGGUCAAAUUCCAGCAGAGAACUCUGGUUUGCUGGGUGGGGAGCAGGACGAGGGUUUCCUUGCCCUGAAUUCACACCCGUGUUAGCCCCCAGUUGGUCGUGCAAGAGGACUGUGCACAAAAGAGAGGAAAAUGCCACUCUUGGCAGGUUUUCUAUUUCUUCUUGAGUAAAUCUUAGCUAUAUAUAUUUCCCUAAAAAGUCAUCCAUUUCAUCAAGAUUUUAAAAUUUGCUACUGUCUAAUUGUACUUUUCUCAUUAAAAAAAUGCAUCUUCUGUAUUUAUUAUAGGCCUUUUCCCAUUCCUUGUUUUGUCUUCCCCCUCUUUUUCUUCCCUACUCUUUACUGCUCUAAAGAGGACUUAACCUCCUCUACUGUAUUUGGUUCCCUCGGAAUCUUCAAACCUCUGGCCCUCACACACCAUUGCCUCGUAACCUGAGCUCUUCCCAGGAGUUUCUCCUCGGCAUAGCGGUCAGAGGUCAUGCUUUUUUCCCAGGCGUAUCCCCUGAUUCUCAUGGCCGGUCAGUUUCAGACCUAUGCUCUUUUUCUCAGUCUUCAUUAUCAUGCUCCUGUCUCCUGUCUUGCACAGGCUGCAUUUCACUAGCUUGUUGUUUACUCUUCUUGGAAGGAACUAGACCAAUGCCUGGUGUUUAUAAACAAAUAUAGUGUAUGUGCCGCCUUCAGUCUCACCCACCAGCCACCUGAGCGUUUGUUCUGUUUGUUCAACCUCCUCACAUGUGUGACAAGAGAGCAAAUGGUUGCACACAGUUUCCAUUUCCGUUUCUGGAGUCUGACAGCCUUUUCCCUGACGGCAGCCCUAUUGAGGCCAUCAUGCGCCACCCUUUCUCAAGCUCCUCCACGCCAACUUCCUUUUGUCACAGUUUGAGUUAGUGCACUAAUUGAAGAAGGAUGGUACUCAGAAGGCUCUGCCCUCAGGCUCUUCCUACGCAUGUGCGUAAGGCCCACUCCUCUCUUCUGGACAGUUGUUUCCUGACUGGUGCAGGCUCUGUAUGGAUAAAAAAAGGGGCAUGAUGUCCCGAGCGAGGGAGAAGCGUGAGAGUGCCAUCUCGCUUGCCUCAAAAAGUAGAUUCUAUGCAGCAGCAGGACUCAUGCUCAAUGUUUCAGUUGGUUCCUCUCCUCUUUCUGAGAAGGACAAGCAGUGAAGAAAGAAAAAGGUAUUUUCCUUUCCAUUAUCUUCCUUUCGCAGAACAACAGAUUUGCUCUCUUUUCAGAAGCAAAGUAUGUGUGGGACAAAAUCUGUGGUUCUCAUUUCAUCAUUUUAAUUCUAGUUUUAGGCAAUUGUGUGAGUUUUCAUCUUUUUCUCUGACUUCUAAGUGGCAGUUUGUCUUGCCAUUUUACUUCUGACAUAUCACAGAAUAUCUUGGAGUAUCUGGAAUAUCCUAGCUGCUCAAUACACAGUUCAUUUAACAAAUGGAUGCGUCACCACUGUUUUAUCACUGAGUUAUUAGGACAAUCAGCUAGAAGAAAUUUUAAACUAGGCUUCCCUAUUAAGGUGGGUUUUGUUAAAUUUUGGUGCCAAUUUUAUUUUCUUCCUACCUAGUAAUAUGCCUAUGACUAUAACAAAGGCUAAUGACUUCAUUUGGAAACUUAAAAUGUGAGAAAUUGUAUUAAGAUCAAUCAUUCAUUCCACAAACAUGUAUUCAGUGCCUAUUUAGGCUGGCACUGUGCCGUGGUAGAAUUCUUUCCAGACCCAUGGGGGAUAGGAGUCUGGGGUGGCUAUAUAAAUACAAAAAGCACAGGUUAAAUAUAUAAAUAUAUUUUUAUGUUAAAAAUAAUUACAAUGUAUUAUGAGAUAUGAUAGAGGUAUGUAAAAUGUGCCAUGAGAUACAGAAGGGGUGACAUUUGAGUUAUGUUAUGGGUCUUUAGAGAAAACCAUGAAGGCAAAGAGUUAUGAAGAAUGGUGCUCUAAGAGGAAGAGCAUUUCUGGGGAAGGUGGUAAUACUCAGAGUCUGGAAAAGUCAGGGAAUUGCAUGUAGUUAAUUGUGAUUGAAAAGAGAGAAUGGAUGGUAACUAGAAAGAUUUGAAAAUGCAGUUACUUAUGGAUCACUGAGGAUAACUUUUACCUAGAAGGCAUGGAUGGUACUGGAUUCAGAAGAGUAACCAUAAGCCAGAGUGAUAAUGAUGAGAAGAUAUGUGAGUGUGGGGCUGUGAGAAGUAUAUGUUGAUAAGGGUUAUAUCACUGGAUAAAGCUUCCUUUGAGGAAAUGGAUUUAAAAUAGCAUUGUAUGGGUUAGCAGAAAGUGCUGAGUGAAUUAUUGUGUACUUAUAGAAAGAGAUGUGUGAUCACUAGCUCACUUGAGCUGGGGUUUGAGCUGUGUUGCUGCUUCAAUCAGCCAGGAUUCCUUUGGUACCCCUUGGAAUCCUGGCUUAAAACACUGGCUCAAAUCCAAGAAGGGAAAAGUACAGAUAAAAUAUGAGCUAAGAAUGCUCGGAGAACAGAACAAAAUGGACAACCAGUGAAAUUUUUGGGGAAACAUCAUCACAGAUAUUCGAGGACUCCUCAUUGACAUCAGAGGAGUGCUGUCCUGAGGGAAUGUAUAACCUUAAAUAGUGAAUAUAAAAUUAGAAAACUACUAUUAAGUAAGGGGUUUAGAGGAAGAGUGGGUCCCAGCAAGCAGGAGCUGAGGUUUAUGAUGUUAAAAUCAUAAAGAAUGGACACUUACUCUUGUUCAAGAUGCAGGCCUUGGCUCUAGAGACUCUUGUAUAAACCCCAUCAUGACUGUACCAAACCUCUACGAUUUUAUUCAAAAGCAAACCCCACUCCUACCACUGUUAGGUUUGCAUCUGCUACCCAUGCUCUUUGCCAUUAUUUAGGCUUUCUAAACUUUUAUUUCUUCAUACUCUCAGUUAGGAGAGACAUCCACUGUCAUGACCUCUACAAAAAUUUAAAUGGUGAUGAGAUACACACACACACACACAAUCAGAUUUUAAAAUAAAUUUUGUAUUUAAAUUGAGAAACCAUAGUCUAUCCAAGAAUGUUCUUGAGGUUUUAUUUAAAUAGGUGUCCAAGUGUCCUGUGGGUGGAGAUAUAAAAAAAUUUCACUAUUUUGCAAUUUUUUAGUUACCCAAAUUACUGCCCAGGCUAAAGUGAGGAAGUAUAGUGCUGAGAUAGCUUUCAAGGAUGAUAGGAAGCCAUCAUUAUCCCACUUAGUAGAUACCUGCCACUGGACGUGAUGAAAGGGACCAAGGGUACAAUAAUACUCAGAUUUUUUCCUUAAUGUAGUUUCAUUUCUAGAUUUCUUUUGAGAAAGACAUGCACAGCAUUAUAACAACCAUGGGGCCACUGCUGAAAGGUGCCUCAGUCCUGUGGGGGAGGAUGGGGAAGUAUGGUGAAUUGGACCUGCUUUUUCAUGUAAGAAGUGUUUGAGUUUGCUUUAAAAAUUAAACACAAUUGAGGCCAGCCUGGUGACAUAGUAGUUAAGUUCAUGCACUCCUCUUUGGCAGCCUGGGGUUCACAAGUUCAGAUCUCAGGCACAGACCUAGCACUGCUUGUCAAGCCAUACUAUAGUGGCAUCCCACAUAAAGUAGAGGAAGAUUGGCACAGAUAUUAGCUCAGUGACAACCUUUCUCAAGCCAAAAGAGGAAGAUUGGCAACAGACUUUAGCUCAGGGCCACUCUUCCUUACAAACACAAACGAAAAUUAAACAAUUUAAAAAUAAAGAAAUAAAAAUAACAAUGAGACACAUGCCAUCAUUUUGUUACCAGGCAUAUUAAGUUAAUAAAUAAUAUACGGAUUUGAUUCUGCAUUUCUUGAUAACUUUGUCAAAAUGGGAGACAUGUCGGCUUCAUAUUGUCCCAUAAGAGAAAUAAUACCAGCUCAUCUGCAUUUGCAUUUGAGUGGCACGAAUUCAAAGAGGCAUUCACCUUGUAAGUCUUUAUAUAAAGGUUGUGGGAUAACACAUCCAGCAAGGUUUUCAAUUAGGAUUUUGCCAAGGACACAUCUAUGUUGUUCAAAAUGGAGUUUUAGGUGUCUGUUAUCUGUAAAAGUUGGGGAAUGACAUUCCAGCAUCACUCAGGGAAGGCAAUUCAGCAGGGAAAUGAGGUGAUCCAGGAAUAUUCCUUCCUAAUGGUCUUUCUCAAUGCAGGAGUUAAGUUUAGAGAAUCUAGGACAAUGCCUGGUUAAAAUGCACAUUACGUUAUUUCUCUGAUAUAUCAGUUGCUUAAAGUGAUCCAUUUACCAAUGCUCAGAGUUGACUUUUGGUAUUCAUCUUGUGAGAACCUGGACUAGAGUUAUUGUCAAAUGAAUAUGAUUUAUUGGUUGAAAUGGGACUCACGUGUUUGAGGGACAUCUGCCUCUGUGACGUUCCUCUCUCUUGGUUUGUCACCACCCCUGUAGCUAUUCAAUCUUGAUUUUCCUUCUGCCCAUGAUUUAAGUGUUGGUACUUUUCACUGUUUUAUUCUCACUAUGAGAACUUUUCCUGCAACAGCAUAUUCACUCUCUUCAACCACCAUUUGUAUAGUGAUGACGUCUCAAGCUACAUUUCCAGUUGGGAUAUCUCUCCUGGGAUCCAG
rnacentral:lncRNA from 1 species